rnacentral:rRNA from 1 species
AAUAAGAAGGUCCGGCUAACUUCGUGCCAGCAGCCGCGGUAAUACGAAGGGACCUAGCGUAGUUCGGAAUUACUGGGCUUAAAGAGUUCGUAGGUGGUUAAAAAAGUUGGUGGUGAAAUCCCAGAGCUUAACUCUGGAACUGCCAUCAAAACUUUUUAGCUAGAGUAUGAUAGAGGAAAGCAGAAUUUCUAGUGUAGAGGUGAAAUUCGUAGAUAUUAGAAAGAAUACCAAUUGCGAAGGCAGCUUUCUGGAUCAUUACUGACACUGAGGAACGAAAGCAUGGGUAGCGAAGAGGAUUAGAUACCCUCGUAGUCCAUGCCGUAAACGAUGUGUGUUAGACGUUGGAAAUUUAUUUUCAGUGUCGCAGUGAAAGCGAUAAACACACCGCCUGGGGAGUACGACCGCAAGGUUAAAACUCAAAUGAAUUGACGGGGACCCGCACAAGUAGUGGAGCAUGUGGUUUAAUUCGAAGAUACGCGCAGAACCUUACCAACACUUGACAUGUUCGUCGCGACUUUAAGAGAUUAAAGUUUUCGGUUCGGCCGGACGAAACACAGGUGCUGCAUGGCUGUCGUCAGCUCGUGUCGUGAGAUGUUGGGUUAAGUCCCGCAACGAGCGCAACCCUCACUUUUAGUUGCCAUCAUUUAGUUGGGCACUCUGAAAGAACUGCCAGUGAUAAGCUGGAGGAAGGUGGGGAUGACGUCAAGUCCUCAUGGCCCUUACGUGUUGGGCUACACACGUGCUACAAUGGCAUUUACAAUAGGAAGCAAGAUGGCAACAUUGAGCAAAUCCUAAAAAGAUGCCUCAGUUCGGAUUGCACUCUGCAACUCGAGUGCAUGAAGCUGGAAUUACUAGUAAUCGCGGAUCAGCGCGC